rnacentral:rRNA from 1 species
CACACCGCCCGUCACACCACGAAAGUCGUUUGCACCAGAAGCCGGUGAGCCAACCGUAAGGAAGCAGCCGUCCAAGGUGUGUGCGAUGAUUGGGGUG